AUUGAACGCUGGCGGCAUGCCUUACACAUGCAAGUCGAACGGCAGCACGGGAGCAAUCCUGGUGGCGAGUGGCGAACGGGUGAGUAAUAUAUCGGAACGUGCCCAGUCGUGGGGGAUAACCUACUCGAAAGAGUGGCUAAUACCGCAUACGAUCUGAGGAUGAAAGCGGGGGACCUGUAAGGGCCUCGCGCGAUUGGAGCGGCCGAUAGCAGAUUAGGUAGUUGGUGGGGUAAAAGGCCCACCAAGCCUGCGAUCUGUAGCUGGUCUGAGAGGACGACCAGCCACACUGGAACCUGAGACACGGUCCAGACUCCUACGGGAGGCAGCAGUAGGGAAUAUUGGGUCAAAUGGGGGGAAACCCUGAUCCAGCCAUNCCGCGUGAAGUGAA
rnacentral:rRNA from 1 species